GCACCCCGAGCCAAGAUGUGCAGACACAUCAGCAAACAGUCGUGCGCGCGAUUGUGUUUUUCCCGGCCGGGAGGCUGCCACAACACAAGGAGCAGCCGCUGCGUCCAUCGCCCUCAGCCACCCGCUUCUCCGUAUGAGACACGGAGGCCCCCAGCGGGAGGCUCCCCAGCUGCUACACCAGGCGGCAUGCCACAUUCUGGAGGACAUAACAAUCCUGGAGGUUCCUGACUGCAAAGGGGCAUAGGAGCAACCCACCCAUGUAUACCAAAGAUGUUUCCAAGCUCCUGGUAACUGAGCAACACAUCUACAAAUGGAAUGGCUGGUGACUUACAGAUGGAGGCCCGGAAGACAUGCUCUUUCCUGAAAUGUUACUACCCAUCUGGAGUGCCUACUCUGGAAAAAAGUUUGCAGCUAUCAGCACCCAGCAUUGGGUUAAAAUUCCUGGGGGGAUUAACAGGGUGCUGUGCUAGCAUCCACAUGGCUUACUGCCUCCCUGUAAGCUGCUGAAGUCUCUGGGUUCAUGCAGUUACCCGGGUUCAGCUAUGGCUUAUGAUAUCACCUACUCAGACUAUAUCUACCUAUGGACCACAAACACACACAGGACAAUACAGACUCUCAGAGAACAGCCAUCACCGCCCCUCCCCCAUUUGCCAGCACAUUUCUGGACUGCAUACAACCCCCCCUGCCAUAUUUCAGACAGGAUUUCCCCUCCCCCAUACAGUUUACAGUGUAGCUUGAUCAAUUUGUACAGUGCGGCUUACUAUAAGAGAAAGCAAUAUAAAAGUUCUUACUUUUAACACCAAAGCACAUCUUUGUAAGAAUGUGAGAGUAUCUAGUAAAAAUUUUGCUUGUGUUACUGCU